CCUACGGGGCGCAGCAGUGGGGAAUAUUGCACAAUGGGGGGAACCCUGAUGCAGCAAUGCCGCGUGGGUGAAGAAGCACUCCGGUGCGUAAAGCCCUGUCAGCAGGGAAGAAAAUGACAGUACCUGGACAAGAAGCCCCGGCUAACUACGUGCCAGCAGCCGCGGUAAUACGUAGGGGGCAAGCGUUAUCCGGAUUUACUGGGUGUAAAGGGAGCGCAGGCGGCGUGGCAAGUCUGAAGUGAAAGCCCGUGGCUCAACCGCGGAACUGCUUUGGAAACUGUAUAGCUUGAGUACUGGAGAGGCAG
rnacentral:rRNA from 1 species